CCUACGGGGGGCUGCAGUGGGGAAUUGUUCGCAAUGGGCGCAAGCCUGACGACGCAACGCCGCGUGGAGGAUGAAGACCUUCGGGUCGUAAACUCCUUUCGACCGAGAUGAAUUUCCCGCGACCUAACACGUCGCGGGAGUGACAGUAUCGAGGGAAGAAGCCCCGGCUAACUCCGUGCCAGCAGCCGCGGUAAUACGGGGGGGGCAAGCGUUGUUCGGAAUUACUGGGCGUAAAGGGUUCGUAGGUGGCCGACUAAGUCAGACGUGAAAUCCCUCAGCUUAACUGGGGAACUGCGUCUGAUACUGGUCGGCUCGAGUGCGGGAGAGGAACGCGGAAUUCCAGGUGUAGCGGUGAAAUGCGUAGAUAUCUGGAGGAACACCGGUGGCGAAGGCGGCGUUCUGGACUGCAACUGACACUGAGGAACGAAAGCCAGGGGAGC
rnacentral:rRNA from 1 species